rnacentral:rRNA from 1 species
GAUGAACGCUGGCGGCGUGCCUAAUACAUGCAAGUCGAGCGAACGGACGAGAAGCUUGCUUUUCUGAUGUUAGCGGCGGACGGGUGAGUAACACGUGGAUAACCUACCUAUAAGACUGGGAUAACUUCGGGAAACCGGAGCUAAUACCGGAUAAUAUUUUGAACCGCAUGGUUCAAAAGUGAAAGACGGUCUUGCUGUCACUUAUAGAUGGAUCCGCGCUGCAUUAGCUAGUUGGUAAGGUAACGGCUUACCAAGGCAACGAUGCAUAGCCGACCUGAGAGGGUGAUCAGCCACACUGGAACUGAGACACGGUCCAGACUCCUACGGGAGGCAGCAGUAGGGAAUCUUCCGCAAUGGGCGAAAGCCUGACGGAGCAACGCCGCGUGAGUGAUGAAGGUCUUCGGAUCGUAAAACUCUGUUAUUAGGGAAGAACAUAUGUGUAAGUAACUGUGCACGUCUUGACGGUACCUAAUCAGAAAGCCACGGCUAACUACGUG